rnacentral:tRNA from 1 species
GCGAGGGUGGCGGAAUCGGCAGACGCGCACGUUUGAGGGGCGUGCGGUAGCUUACCUUGCGAGUUCAAGUCUCGUCCCUCGCACCA